UUGCAUCGUCGAGAGUUUUCCACGGUCAAAGUCAAACGGUCUUCAGAGCCGUUACCCGCCCUUAGCUGGCGUCAAGCGGUCUUCAGAGCCGUUGCCCGGCCUCCGCGCAUUCACACUCGCUAUAUAUAUCCCCCCGCACUCGCACUCUCUUCUUCAGCACAUUCUAACACUAGUGUACGAGUGCUCCAUCAACGGCCUCUUCCCUUUUGAGUGUUCGUUGCCGAAACCAAAAGCUAGGUCUACCAGGCAAUCGGAGGAAGAGAGAGCACAAGCGAAAGGAGUAGAGUGUUCGUUAUGUAUAUCCCCCCGCACUCGCAUUCUCUUCUUCAGCACACUCUCACACUAGUAUCCGAGUGCUCCAUCAACGGCCUCUUCCCUUUUGAGUGUUCGUUGCCGAAACCAAACGCUAGGUCUACCAGGCAAUCGGAGGAAGAGAGAGCACAAGCGAAAGGAGUAGAGAGAGCACAAGCGAAAGGAGUUUCUCGCAUCGUCUCGGUGGUGAAAAAUAGAGAAGAGAGGAAGACGACGAACUCUUAUGUCAUUGAGAUUGGUGCCGAUAACGGAGAGCGGAAGAACGAAGCAGUCGCUCUCGAUGAAGUGAUUGCUUGGGCAAAAGAAAAGCAGUUCGUCCUGCCACUGAGGCCGGUCAUGACGAUGAACGAUAUAGAGAUAUACACUGCCUGGAUAACAAUCAGUUUGUUGAAAUAGAAGGACGGUAGGAUUCAUGUAAAGUUUGUUGCAAACAGUUAGGGUACCACAAUACACAGAGAUGGAAGUGGUGGAGGGAAUAGAUGGAGAUAAUAAAGUUGAGGCCAUUCUACGAGGAAUCCAACUCCGGUUGCUACUUUAAACACUCCAAUCACGCUACUGAAACUGGAGGGCCAUAUGGAUCCAUCAAUGAUGAUUCUCGAACAGUUUUCAAGUAUGGUAUUACAUUAUUAGUUUUGAAUUACUAAACUUCUACGUUUUUUAGUUCCAAAAUUAUUUUCAGCCAUCAUAGGGUACUGUUGAAGUAGUUCGUAGGUAACCAAAAGCAUGCAAUCAAUCUGAUCUUGUCAGGAGUUAUUAGAGUGAAUAAGCUAUUCAGAAAGCAUGUUUAUUACCAACAGAAGAUUGUGCUAACUCCAUUGAAAGGGCAUGUUUAAGUCAUCACCAUACGUUAGAUUA